AAUUUUGCGCAAUGGGGGAAACCCUGACGCAGCAACGCCGCGUGUGUGAUGACGCCCCUCGGGGUGUAAAGCACUGUCAGUGGGGACGAAACUUGACGGUACCCACAAAGGAAGCACCGGCUAACUCCGUGCCAGCAGCCGCGGUAAUACGGAGGGUGCAAGCGUUGUCCGGAAUCAUUGGGCGUAAAGCGUUCGUAGGCGGCAUAUUAAGUCUGGUGUUAAAGCCCGGAGCUCAACUCCGGUUCGGCACUGGAUACUGGUAAGCUAGAAUGAGGUAGAGGUAAGGGGAAUUCCUGGUGUAGCGGUGAAAUGCGUAGAUAUCAGGAGGAACAUCGGUGGCGAAAGCGCCUUGCUGGACCUUAAUUGACGCUGAGGAACGAAAGCCGGGGGAGCAAAUGGG
rnacentral:rRNA from 1 species